rnacentral:lncRNA from 1 species
UUAUUAUUAUUAUAGCAUAGGGGAGGGAGGAGGAAUACGGUUCAGCUCAAACAUGAACUGGCCAUUGCUUGGCGCUUCUCUCGCUCAAAAUGGAAAAACUGUUUCCCCAAGUUCAAAUGAGAAAUUUUCCAAACAUUAUGCAAAGUUAGUUCUGGAAACAUUACUAAAUCAACAUUUCUGCAUUUUGCAAAUAAAUAAUAAUAAUAAUCACACAUUCAAUAGUAGACUUGAAAAAAUUAUAUAUGAAACCUAACUAAGAGAAGAAUGGUACAACCACCAUGGACACACACAGAAGAAUACAACAAAUGUCUACCUCUAGUCUUCACCGCGGAAUUUGUGUAUAACCAUGUCCACAUGAGAAUGCAGAACAGGGAUUUUUACUUGCUGUCCUAGCUUAUUAGCUAUAACUUCUUCUUCCCUGUUAACAAAGUUUAACAAAAGUGCUCCUAAAUCUGAACGGAAAAGCAUAAAUAUUGAAUGACAUAUGAGCUUCAAACUUCAAUUUAACAACAAGUAGCAAAAAAAAAAAAAAAAAGGAAAAAGCAAUUGACCAUGAUAAAAACUAAAGAAAUGAUACCCUAUGACCUAUCAUUUUAAAGAGAGAAUGAAAUUAUAUAACUUUUGGAUUAUUUUUGAUUUCAUCAGUGAUAUCAUUAUAUAGUCUCCUAUGUACAUCAUAAUAGAUCACUUGGACCUAUAGUUCUUUCCUCUCUUCUUCUCGCAUCAACAUCUCCCUUGACAAAUGACAAGUCCCCUCAGGCCUCAGUUUAGUUUGGUUAGUCCAAAAUAGCUACUUGAUGUUGUCAGGUUAAUACCAAACCGAGUUGCGAGAUGGGGUUAAUCAUAGAUUAUCAUGUGCUGCACCAUCUGCUUCCUCCCCACAGAUUCAGCACGCACAGCAAGUCAGCAAUAUGACAUGAAUGAACUAAAUGUGAACCUCUUGAAAUGCUGAAUAUGACACUGUCAUAUAGAUGCCACACCUUUAGUCAUCAACUGUUGCAGUAGAAACAUAUAUGAACAACUAAUCCACGCUACAAAACUAUAAAGCCACUAAAUGACAUAACUUAGACAAGAGGCUGCAUGGCUAGAAGCUAUAUAGUUAUUCUAAGCAUCUACAGCAUGCCAGAGGAGUAUUCUUUGAUCCGACUGUUGCAUGAGAACUUGGAAAGGAACUACUACAGAACCACUCUAUAAGCCCUCCUCCUACAUGAAUUCCUAAAGAAUCAUAAUCCCUAUAAAAUAUAUACACAGAUUUCUCUCUCCAAUAGUUUAUCCUUUCAUGUUUCUUCCUUUCCUCCCUAAGAGGUCAAGAACAACAUUAUUUCGCCACAAAUUUAUGGACACGAACACACAGGAAAUGGAUCAAUUUGGAGUUAGCGCAAGGAAUUGUAAUGCAUUAAUACAAUAGCAUUCAAGAAAGACCAAAACUUUGUAAUACUACUAUAUCAAAUUUGUGAAAUAACUGCUCUAUGUUUAAUAAACUUGAAAGAGAUAUGAACACACUUCAAACACAGUCACUUGAGCAAGUAUGAGUUUUUUGUUUCAUCAACAAGAAAUCCAUUUACAUGUAUCCCCGAACCCCAGUGCCCAAUUCACAAAUAGACACAUACCAAUAAUGAGUUGCAUUUGAAGAAUUUGCUAAAUUACCAUAUCAAUCUAUCUGAUUAAAAAUAAAAGGCAGUAUAUGCUCCCUUUCUAUUCCUCUUCAUCUUCUCAAGCUCGAUCUUAGCUUCCAAAAACAUAUUCAUCCUCUGGAACUCAAGAUCCUUGGUAAACUCCACCCUCUGCUUCUCCAAUUCGAUCAUAUACCAGCCUCGUUGCUUACAACAUACCUCCAUAACAUUCAAAACAAAAAAUAACAGAGCCCAGUUCUCUGUAGUUGGUUCCACCACCGAACAAAAAAAAUGAAGACAAAGUUCCAGUCGUUGACAAACAGAGCCCAGUUCACAUUCUUUC